UCCCUACACGUAUACAAUUAAUGACUCAUUCCCAUCAAGCUGUACAUUGUCUUCCGUCUUAAGAAAACCGCUGCCGACGUCUGACACCUGUCUUCCCCGACGGCGACGGAUCGCCGUUGCUCUCUGCGAUCUCAACCUACUUCACCAAAUUCAAAAACCCUUCAGGAAGUUGACCACAGUUUCUCUGGGUUUCCAUUUCCGAAUGUUUAUCUGAAUCAACAACGAAAACCCAAUUGCUUUCAGAUCUGUUCUUCAAGUCUGGACUAAUCUCGGCUCUUAAAAACGGUCAAAGUCUGAAUCUUUCAGCUUAGAAAGAGGGAGUAGUUCCAUUUUCCAGAUUGAAGUGGGAUGGAUAUACACAGAGGAAGCAAGGAGCAUGCUUCGUCAGACUCCCUUUUACAAUGGGGCCAAUGGCAACUGCUUGAUUCUAUCCUCCCAACCGGUGGUUUUGCACAUUCCUUUGGGCUUGAGGCUGCAAUCCAAGCUCGCAUAGUCUCUGGUCCUGAAGAUCUCCAAACUUUUGUAAUUCAUCAUUUAGAGAAUACUGCAAGCUUACUCCUUCCUUUUGUGUAUUCUACAACAAUAUCGCCUGAUUUGGAGAGUUUGCGUAGACAUGACAAGAUAUUGGACGCAAUGCUGACUAAUGAAGUGGGUAGAAAGGCAUCAAUUGCACAAGGGUCUGCGCUGAUGCGAGUGGCUGCUGCUGUUUAUUCAGAAAUACCAUCUCUUAAAUCUAUGAGGGAAACUUCUUUGAGUAAUGGGGUUGUUUCUUUUCACCAUGCUCCUAUAUUUGGGCUUAUAUGUGGAUUGCUUGGGUUGGAUAGCAGUACUUCUCAAAGAGCUUUCAUGUUUAUCACAAUGAGAGAUGUUAUUUCUGCUGCAACAAGGCUGAAUUUGGUCGGACCCCUUGGUGCGGCUGUUCUGCAACAUCAUAUUGCUCCUAUCUCUGAAGCUAUACUGAAUCAAUGGAAGGACCGUCCCGUUGAGGAAGCAUGCCAAACUGUUCCUUUGCUUGAUAUCGUGCAGGGUUGUCAUAGCUACCUGUUCUCUAGACUGUUCUGUUCUUGAAGGCCAAAAUAGACUCAUCAACUGAUGGAAGGUUUUGAUAAUACCUCUCCCUUGUUGUGUAUGUGUAUCUUCCCAAGGAUGACACAACGGCUUCCCUAUAGAUGGUAUGGCUAUCUGACUUCCGCCAAUGAAAUUUCUGCUGUUUAGGCUUCUCAAAAAACACACAUGAUACCCAUGCAAAAGUUUCAGACUUUUAGCACAGUGAGCUCUUUCAAUGAUAUUAAAUUUGAAUGCUUGUACUAUUUGGAGAAUGACAUUAUAAUUAUUUGUUUCAAUCCUUUUGUA